UUAGAAGUGAUCAUGGAAAUAUCAAGUAUUGAAUCUUAGUUAUUUAAUUUUGCAAUGCUUUUGUUUAAGAAAAAAGUUAAAAUAAUGAUAUGUUGGAUUUGAUAUUAGAAAUGAUCAUGGAAAUAUCAAGUAUUGAAUCUUAGUUAUUUGAUUUUGCAAUGCUUUUGUUUUAGAAAAAAGUUAAAAUAAUGAUAUGUUGGAUUUGAUAUUAGAAGUGAUCAUGGAAUUAUCAAGUAUUGAAUCUUAGUUAUUUGAUUUUGCAAUGCUUUUGUUUUAGAAAAAAAUUAAAAUAAUGAUAUGUUGGAUUUGAUAUUAGAAGUGAUCAUGGAAAUAUCAAGUAUUGAAUCUUAGUUAUUUGAUUUUGCAAUGCUUUUGUUUUAGAAAAAAGUUAAAAUAAUGAUAUGUUGGAUUUGAUAUUAGAAGUGAUCAUAGAAAUAUCAAGUAUUGAAUCUUAGGUAUUUGAUUUUGCAAUGCUUUUGUUUAAGAAAAAAGUUAAAA
rnacentral:lncRNA from 1 species